rnacentral:tRNA from 1 species
AUCAAAGUGACAGAAUAAUGUGAUAGACUUAAAGCCUAUUAAUGGGUUAACCCUUUGAUA